GAGACUCUUGUUAGGAAAAGCUGACAGGAUUUGGUGAUGGGUUAGAUGUGAAGAAGAAAUAAAUUGAUUUUGAGCAAGGAUAGUGAUGCCAUUAGCUGAGAUUUCAGAGCAACAAUGGAGGAGCAAAUUGGAGGGGAUAAAUCAAAUCUUGCCCGGGGUAUGUUGAGAUUCCUAUUAUCUCAAUGGAGACAUUGAGUAGACAGCUGGCAUAUGGAUGUUCCCAGGCUAGGGGUCCAUUGGAGCUGUAGCCACCAACCUAAGCCACAGCCACAGCAACACGGGGUCCGAGCCCACGUCUGCGACCUACAGCUCACAGCAACGCCAGAUCCUUAACCCGCUGAGCAAGGCCAGGGAUCAAACCCGCAACCUCAUGGUUCCUAGUCGGAUUCGUUAACCACUGAGCCACGACGGGAACUCUGGUUUUUUGUUUUUUUGUUUGUUUGUUUGUUUUUUAAGCCUUUUUUAAAUAGAGGACUUGCCUUUCAAAAAGUUUUAAAAUAUUAGAAUCAAGCCUUGCCCUCAAUUUCAAACCUUCAUCCAUGUCAAAAUUUGGUUAUCAUGCUUUCCAUGUCAAGUUAACUUGUGUGUCUUUUAGUACAGAUCUUUAUAUGAGAUGCAAGAUCGUUAUGGAAUAUUUAGACAGUACUGAAGAUCAUAAAAAAUCAGGACCCACCCCGCAAAAGUCCGAAUUACCAUUUUCUCUACCAUCACCAACCCUGACUCUCCCAACUCCCAUUCUGUAAUCUUCCAGAGCUGACUGCUAUUAACGCUUAUUACGUUCCACUAUUUUUUCAUGCAUUUUAAGUUAAAGGGUGAAAAUUGAUGGAAUACAGAUAUUGAUAGAUAAUACAGCAAGAGAUACAAAGAACUGGAGGCCUUGAGUUACUUUUAGUAUAUUCAGAUGGGCUCCAGAUUUUACUCUACCUGACUCAGUGUGGACUUGGGUGUCUUCACCUAGGUUGUUUAAAGGUUAGAACAAAUGACACUGCUAAGGCCCAAUCACUGAUGGUUUCUUGAAAUAAAACUUCAGUAGAAGAUGAGAACCUUGAUCUCAUGGAACUUUUAAGCUAAUGGGGACACAGACAAAUAUAUACAUGUAUAAUGAUAAGAAUAUGUGGAAACAGACUAAGCUAAAAGUAAAGCAAAAACAGGUUGCACGCUUAAUAAGGAAAAACAGAAAAGUGACCCACAGGGAGGCAGGGUGAAUUGAUGUCUUAGAUUUGUUUCAUUGCAAGAAUGUCUAAUAAAUGGACUUCGCAGAUGGUAAAGUCAGGUGUGGAAGUGCAGUGGUAAGUAGCAACUGAUGAGGGCAGAAUGAGGUGAAAUAAUCUAUUGAGUGUGGCAUAUGAAUAUGCUAGACUGAAGGCUCUGAACUUAAGCUAGGUUCUUAAGCAAGGCAGAAUUAGAAAUUACACCAGAAGCUGCAAAAUGGAUUAUAACCAGGAGAGAUUAGCAAAAGGACGCCCUUUGAAAUUUGUCUAGGUCAGAUUGAUAGCACUGGAAUUAAGCUGAGGAGCAUAUCCGAAAAGAAACUGCAAAAGGAUUAACACACAAUUGUGGGUAAAGAAAAUAAGCAAUUUGCUUGCCUAGAGGGAUUGUGAGUUAAAUAUGUCAUAAUCCUACAAUUCAAGCAAGCCAAGUUAGUAUCUCCCACCAAAUAUGAAUCUCUUAUUUGUUUUUAAGUAAAAUUAAAUAUGAACAGUUUAUUUUUGAAAGGCACAUUUCUAAUGCAAAAAAAAA
ensembl:lncRNA